AGAACGAACGCUGGCGGCAUGCCUAACACAUGCAAGUCGAACGAAGCCUUCGGGCUUAGUGGCGCACGGGUGCGUAACGCGUGGGAAUCUGCCCUUGGGUUCGGAAUAACAGUUAGAAAUGACUGCUAAUACCGGAUGAUGUCUUCGGACCAAAGAUUUAUCGCCCAAGGAUGAGCCCGCGUAGGAUUAGGUAGUUGGUGGGGUAAUGGCCCACCAAGCCGACGAUCCUUAGCUGGUCUGAGAGGAUGAUCAGCCACACUGGGACUGAGACACGGCCCAGACUCCUACGGGAGGCAGCAGUGGGGAAUAUUGGACAAUGGGCGAAAGCCUGAUCCAGCAAUGCCGCGUGAGUGAUGAAGGCCUUAGGUGUAAAGCUCUUUACCGGGAUGAUAAUGACAGUACCGGAGAAUAAGCUCCGGCUAACUCCGUGCCAGCAGCCGC
rnacentral:rRNA from 1 species